ACGGGAGGCAGCAGUCGGGAAUAUUGCGCAAUGGAGGAAACUCUGACGCAGUGACGCCGCGUAUAGGAAGAAGGUUUUCGGAUUGUAAACUAUUGUCAUUAGGGAAGAAAAAAGACUGUACCUAAAGAGGAAGCCCCGGCUAACUAUGUGCCAGCAGCCGCGGUAAUACAUAGGGGGCAAGCGUUAUCCGGAAUUAUUGGGUGUAAAGGGUGCGUAGACGGGAGUGCAAGUUAGUUGUGAAAUCCCUCGGCUUAACUGAGGAACUGCAACUAAAACUGUACUUCUUGAGUAUCGGAGAGGAAAGCGGAAUUCCUAGUGUAGCGGUGAAAUGCGUAGAUAUUAGGAGGAACACCAGUGGCGAAGGCGGCUUUCUGGACGAAAACUGACGUUGAGGCACGAAAGUGUGGGGAGCAAACAGGAUUAGAUACCCUGGUA
rnacentral:rRNA from 1 species